GAAACGACUGCUAAGACUGGAUAGGAGAUAAGAAGGCAUCUUUUUAUUUUUAAAAGACCUAGCAAUAGGUAUGCUUAGGGAAGAGCUUGCGUCACAUUAGUUAGUUGGUGGGGUAAUGGCCUACCAAGACGAUGAUGUGUAGCCGGGCUGAGAGGUCGAACGGCCACAUUGGGACUGAGACACGGCCCAAACUCCUACGGGAGGCAGCAGUAAGGAAUUUUCGGCAAUGGAGGAAACUCUGACCGAGCAAUGCCGCGUGAACGAUGAAGUAUUUCGGUACGUAAAGUUCUUUUAUUAGGGAAGAAAAGAUGGUGGAAAAACCAUUAUGACGGUACCUAAUGAAUAAGCCCCGGCUAACUAUGUGCCAGCAGCCGCGGUAAUACAUAGGGGGCAAGCGUUAUCCGGAAUUAUUGGGCGUAAAGGGUGCGUAGGCGGUUAAAUAAGUUUAUGGUCUAAGUGCAACGCUCAACGUUGUGAUGCUAUAAAAACUGUUUAGCUAGAGUUGGAUAGAGGCAAGUGGAAUUCCGUGUGUAGUGGUAAAAUGCGUAAAUAUACGGAGGAACACCAGAAGCGAAGGCGGCUUGCUGGGUCUUAACUGACGCUGAGGCACGAAAGCGUGGGGAGCAAACAGGAUUAGAUACCCUGGUAGUCCACGCCCUAAACGAUGAGUACUAAACGUUGGAUAAAACCAGUGUUGAAGUUAACACAUUAAGUACUCCGCCUGAGUAGUACGUACGCAAGUAUGAAACUUAAAGGAAUUGACGGGACUCCGCACAAGCGGUGGAUCAUGUUGUUUAAUUCGAAGGUACCCGAAAAACCUCACCAGGUCUUGACAUGCUUUUGCAAAGCUGUAGAAAUACAGUGGAGGUUAUCAAAAGCACAGGUGGUGCAUGGUUGUCGUCAGCUCGUGUCGUGAGAUGUUGGGUUAAGUCCCGCAACGAGCGCAACCCUUGUUGUUAAUUGCCAUCAUUAAGUUGGGGACUUUAGCAAGACUGCCAAUGAUAAAUUGGAGGAAGGUGGGGACGACGUCAAAUCAUCAUGCCCCUUAUGACCUGGGCUACAAACGUGAUACAAUGGCUGUUACAAAGGGUAGCUAAAGCGUAAGCUUCUGGCGAAUCUCAAAAAAGCAGUCUCAGUUCGGAUUGAAGUCUGCAACUCGACUUCAUGAAGUUGGAAUCGCUAGUAAUCGCGAAUCAGCAUGUCGCGGUGAAUACGUUCUCGGGGUUUGUACACACCGCCCGUCA
rnacentral:rRNA from 1 species